rnacentral:sRNA from 1 species
UGAUUUCCAGGACUGCCAAGACUACACAGAGAAAGCCUGUCUUGAGGGAGAGGGGAUGACUUGGCUCCAGAUUAAAUAAAACUCAAGAGAAUAUUUAGAUCUGAAUGUUGCCGAGAGAAUCUGUUUCAAAACACAGCAUUUGGUAAGGCGCUGGUGUCAACCAUGCGUUCCUUUGUAAAGAGAAAUGUAAGUAUGGUUUCAUUUUGAAACUUCUUCCUAAGUAGUAACAAAAUCUUCUGGAAGACAAAACCAAACAGGAAACUUCUGCCCUUCGAAGUCAAACACAGCUGGGUCCCUGUUGGUAUUGUGUAACUCAUCAGCCAUACAAGCAUGUGAAAGAGGAGGGGAUAACUGUGCAAAGUCUCUGAAUGUUUAAAAUUUAUAAGACUCUGACUCCUAAGAUUAUAAUGAUCAGGUGAAUGGCAGGCCCAGCAGAUCACAAGGCACCUGGCAGAUCAAAGAUGCUCAGUAAAAUGGCAGUGGCAGUAAUCGAUAUAAAUAGGCCUGCCUUUGAAGUUAUUAGCAGGAUAUACAUUUUUUACCAACUCUUUGAAAAGCGUGUGAAAUUGUCUGUUAAACCUUGACACAUGUAAUUCAUAGAUCCUUGACUCUUUUCUCUCUCUCUCUCUCCCCGCCCCUUCCUCCCUCCAUCCUUUUUUCUCUUUCAGACAGGCUCCUGUGUAUCUCAGAAUGUCCUCGACCCAAUCCUCCCUGUACCACCUGAAUUCUGGGGUUAUAAGAAUAUUCUACCAUGCCCAGUUUCUGUGGUGCUAGAGAUCGAUUCCAACGCUUCCUUAGACUAAGCAGAUCCUGAGUGAAGAUGUCAGACUGCCUGCCCCUCUGCUGACAUGCUCUGCUACCUGCGUGACCUCCAGCACAUACAUGAACCUCAGCGUCAGUUUGGUCAUCUACAGGGUUAUCACAAAGCUGAGCACAGGGACAGGUACGAGUGUGAAGUGUGUCAUGCCUCGCAGAGAGGAGCCAGAGGACAGCUUUCAGGAGUUGGUUCUUCCUUCUUGGUUCUUGUACUGGGAAGAACUGAGCUUCAGAUCAGACAGCCGGGUUGAAACUGGG